GUUAAUGUAGCUUAAACUAAAGGCAAGGCACUGAAAAUGCCAAGAUGAGUGUACGCACUCCAUGAACA
rnacentral:tRNA from 1 species